rnacentral:lncRNA from 1 species
GGACGAUACUGAUAACGAGGAGACUUCAAGGUCUUCAUGGUUGAUUGUAGUGAUUUUUAAAUUUAUUUUGAAAGCUAUAAUGUGGAUGAGGAAUGUUAUCCUUUUACUUCAACCGGAUUGUGAGGAGCGACUUAGUCCCACGAGGCUCCAUUCACAUGUUCAGUCAGUCAGAUGAGUCGGAGAGACAGACAUGAAGGACCCGCAUCUUCCAGCCAUCAAAGCCCGUCUAUGGCCCAAGCAGAAAGUGAGCAAGAAUUCCAAAGGUGAGGCUCCAGUGGUGGAAAAGACAGCCAAGAAGCCCCCGGCGUCUGCUGCCCGAUGUGCCGUCCCACAGUUGACCGAAGCGGAGAGGAUGAUGCAGUCGCCGUUUGAGAGGGUCGUCUACGACAUGGCCCACAACGAGAGGAUCGUCAACGAGCUGAUGCUCGGUCGAAGAGUUGGCUUCUACGAGCUGCGUGGAGAGAUCGGGCAGGGAAACUUCUCCACGGUCAGGUUGGGCAUCCAUGCCUUGACGAAAGGUCAGAAAUCUUAAGUUAUUUAUGUGGUUUUACAUAAUUUGCACGUUGUUUUCUCCUUUAAAAACAUAACAAGCAGUUUCCUUAUGGCAUCAAAUUGAAUCCUCACCUCAACCGGGACAAACGACAUUGUUUAAAGA